CCUACGGGAGGCAGCAGUGGGGAAUAUUGCACAAUGGGCGCAAGCCUGAUGCAGCGACGCCGCGUGAGGGAUGACGGCCUUCGGGUUGUAAACCUCUUUCAGUAGGGAAGAAGCGAAAGUGACGGUACCUGCAGAAGAAGCGCCGGCUAACUACGUGCCAGCAGCCGCGGUAAUACGUAGGGCGCAAGCGUUAUCCGGAAUUAUUGGGCGUAAAGAGCUCGUAGGCGGUUUGUCGCGUCUGCCGUGAAAGUCCGGGGCUCAACUCCGGAUCUGCGGUGGGUACGGGCAGACUAGAGUGAUGUAGGGGAGACUGGAAUUCCUGGUGUAGCGGUGAAAUGCGCAGAUAUCAGGAGGAACACCGAUGGCGAAGGCAGGUCUCUGGGCAUUAACUGACGCUGAGGAGCGAAAGCAUGGGGAGCGAACAGGAUUAGAUACCCUGGUAGUCCAUGCCGUAAACGUUGGGCACUAGGUGUGGGGGACAUUCCACGUUUUCCGCGCCGUAGCUAACGCAUUAAGUGCCCCGCCUGGGGNGGUACGGCGCGAGACGAACACAAGAAGUAGAGCGNGAGACGUGCGACGACGACGACGAGGGAGGAGG
rnacentral:rRNA from 1 species